UACAGAGGUCCCAAGCGUUGUUCGGAUUCACUGGGCGUAAAGCGUGCGUAGGCUGUUUGGCAAGUUGGACGUGAAAGCCCGGGGCUCAACCCCGGAAUUGCUUUCAAAACUGCCAGACUCGAAUUCGGGAGAGGAUAGCGGAAUUUCCAGUGUAGUAGUGAAAUACGUAGAUAUUGGAAGGAACACCAGUGGCGUAAGCGGCUAUCUGGACCGACAUUGACGCUGAGGCACGAAAGCGUGGGGAUCAAACAGG
rnacentral:rRNA from 1 species